rnacentral:rRNA from 1 species
AACUCAAAGGAUUGACGGGGCCCGCACAAGCGGAGGAGCAUGUGUUUAAUUCGAUGAUACGCGAGGAACCUUACCUGGGCUUAAAUGGGAGAAGACCGCUGCCGAAAGGUGGCUUUCCGCAAGGACUUCUUUCAAGGUGCUGCAUGGCUGUCGUCAGCUCGUGCCGUGAGGUGUCGGGUUAAGUCCCAUAACGAGCGCAACCCCUAUCCUUAGUUGCCAUCAGGUAAUGCUGGGAACUCUAAGGAAACUGCCUACGCAAGUAGUGAGGAAGGCGGGGAUGACGUCAAGUCAGCACGGCCCUUACGUCCAGGGCUACACACGUGCUACAAUGGCUGGUACAGAGGGCAGCUACCUGGUGACAGGAUGCAAAUCUCAAAAACCGGUCUCAGUUCGGAUCGAAGUCUGCAACUCGACUUCGUGAAGUUGGAUUCGCUAGUAAUCGGAUAUCAGCAAUGAUCCGGUGAAUACGUUCCCGGGCCUUGUACACACCGCCCGUCAAGCCAUGGGAGUUGGGGGUACCUAAAGUCGAUAACCGCAAGGAGUCGCCUAGGGUAAAACCAAUGACUGGG